rnacentral:rRNA from 1 species
UACAGAGGUCUCGAGCGUUAGGCGGAAUCACUGGGCUUAAAGCGUGUGUAGGCGGAUUGCUAAGUACCUUGUGAAAUCCCACGGCUUAACCGUGGAACUGCUUGGUAUACUGGCUGUCUUGAGCCACUUAGGGGCAACCGGAACAAACGGUGGAGCGGUGAAAUGCGUAGAUAUCGUUUGGAACGCCAAUGGUGAAAACAGGUUGCUGGGAGUGUGCUGACGCUGAGACACGAAAAGCCAGGGGGAGCAAAACGGGG